GGGUUCGUAGCUCAGUCUGGUAGAGCAUCCGGUUCUUAACCGGAAUGUCGCAAGUUCAAAUCUUGUCGAGCCCA
rnacentral:tRNA from 1 species